rnacentral:tRNA from 1 species
GCCUCGGUGGCUCUGAGGCGAGAGCGCGAGCCUACGGAUCCCCAGGUGGCGGGUUCGAAUCCCGACCGAGGUG